rnacentral:rRNA from 1 species
CCUACGGGAGGCAGCAGUGAGGAAUAUUGGUCAAUGGGCGCGAGCCUGAACCAGCCAAGUCGCGUGAGGGAUGAAGGUUCUAUGGAUCGUAAACCUCUUUUAUAAGGGAAUAAAGUGUGGGACGUGUCCUAUUUUGUAUGUACCUUAUGAAUAAGGAUCGGCAAACUCCGUGCCAGCAGCCGCGGUAAUACGGAGGAUCCGUGCGUUAUCGGGAUUUAUUGGGUUUAAAGUGUGCGCAGGCGGAGGUGCAAGUCAGCGGUCAAAGUGCGGGGCUCAACCCCGUACUGCCGUUGAUACUGCAACACUUGAGGGCGCGAGAAGGAUGCGGAAUGCGUGGUGUAGCGGUGAAAUGCAUAGAUAUCACGCAGAACUCUGAUGGCGAAGGCAGGAUACCGGCGCGUAACUGACGCUGAUGCACGAAGGCGUGGGUAGCGAAAAGGAUUAGAUACCCUAGUAGUC